AUGGGGCAGAUGACGUGGUGGGUCCCAUCAUGUAAUCGGCUUGUGCUGAACCCAAAUCAGCAGAUGGGAAGUUUGCUGAAUAAUCCUUAAAGAAAGUGGAUCAACUGCACACAGAAUGAGUGGAUGGGGUAGGACACUAACCACGAUUAGAGCGGCUAAUGAUAAAUUGAGGAGACUCCCAUCCUUUGCAUCCAGAGCUGCCCUGCAUUGAGUAUUAUGACUGAGUUUGGUUCACACAUCCAGAAUAUAUGGUUUUACAAUAAAAACAUAAUAGGGUAGCUGAAAAAUAAGAAAACUGAUCUAGUCAUGGAGAAAUGGAGUAAUGAACAUCGAGCUGCAAUUGUGGAACUGUACUUCUCGAAUGGAAAUUCGGUCGUAGCAGCACAACGGCAGUUUCGGGAAAAAUUUGGAUUACGUGAUAGUCCAUCAAAGAUGUCCAUAUUGCGCUAUGUUUCUGCGUUUCGUGGUACAGGAAGUGUUAAAGAUGCACAAAGAAGUGGACGGCCUCGAACAGCGCGAACGGUUGGAAAUAUGGAAUCAGUCAGAGAAGCGGUGAUCAGGAGCCCUAAAAAAUCUGUGCGACGGCUGUCUCAAGAACUUGGUCUAAAAAGAGAGUCUGUGCGAAAAAUACUAAAACGGGAUUUGAAAUUAUUCCCUUACAAAAUCCAAGUUACCCAACAGUUAUUGCCUACUGACAAAGUGUCAAAAUCAGCCACAAUCAAUAAUGGCGCUGAAGGACAAUAUCCAAGAGGCUGUGCAGUUCAUUCCAGCCAAAACAUUCAGGAAAGUAAUGGAAAAUGUCAUUAUUCGAUGCCAUGAAUGUGUAGACAUACAAGGAAGUCAUCUUUCUGUUAUUAGUUUUAAAUAGUAGUUUAUUUCAUUUAAUAAGAAUGUAACAGCAAAGUCUGUACUUUUGAUUUUUUAUGCACUGAACACUGUCUUUGAAGAAAUAAAGUAAUUAUUAUUAAACUAAAUGGUAUCAUGACUUUUUGGUCACCUUGUAUCAUAAUGGAGUUCAUGGACAUUGACUAUAUAAAUAAGGUUUGGUUUUAUAUUUGUAUGUGAAGA